GACGAACGCUGGCGGCGUGCCUAAUACAUGCAAGUAGAACGCUGAAGAGAGGAGCUUGCCCUUCUUGGAUGAGUUGCGAACGGGUGAGUAACGCGUAGGUAACCUGCCUUGUAGCGGGGGAUAACUAUUGGAAACGUUAGCUAAUACCGCAUAACAAUGGAUGACACAUGUCAUUUAUUUGAAAGGGGCAAUUGCUCCACUACAAGAUGGACCUGCGUUGUAUUAGCUAGUGGGUGAGGUAAUGGCUCACCUAGGCGACGAUACAUAGCCGACCUGAGAGGGUGAUCGGCCACACUGGGACUGAGACACGGCCCAGACUCCUACGGGAGGCAGCAGUAGGGAAUCUUCGGCAAUGGGGGCAACCCUGACCGAGCAACGCCGCGUGAGUGAAGAAGGUUUUCGGAUCGUAAAGCUCUGUUGUAAGUCAAGAACGGGUGUGAGAGUGGAAAGUUCACACUGUGACGGUAGCUUACCAGAAAGGGACGGCUAACUACGUG
rnacentral:rRNA from 1 species